CAAAAUAAUGGCAUUUUCAGGGAAAUGGAUGGAGCUAGAACAAAUCAUGUUGAGCGAAAUAAGCCAAGAUCAGAGUGACAAAUGGCAUAUGGUCUUCCUGAUAGGCAGAUGCUAGAAUGAAGAGU